GUCUUCGUGGUGUAGUGGUCAGCACGCUCGACGCGUAUUCGAGAGGUCCGUGGUUCGAGUCCCGGUGAAGGCA
rnacentral:tRNA from 1 species